UACCAUCUUUGGAAAAUCAAUAAAUUUUCAAAUUUACUCAAGGAAAGUAUGAGUCCAUACCAUUUGGAGACUGCAACUGGAAAAUUUUGUUCUACCCUAAUGGAAUUGCAGAAGUUGAGGGCAAAAACAUUUCAAUUUUUAUAUCUCUGCCCCAGUCAUUAUCCCUGAUGGCACAACUAAAUUGUUUGUGAAAUUCAUUCUGCGUGUCAAAAAUCAAAUUGGAGGAAGGCACAUUGAAUUUACAUG